rnacentral:rRNA from 1 species
UACGGAAGGCAGCAGGGGGGAAUAUUGCACAAUGGGCGCAAGCCUGAUGCAGCCAUGCCGCGUGUAUGAAAAAGGCCUUCGGGUUGUAAAGUACUUUUCAGUCGUGAGGAAGGUGUUAAGGUUAAUAACCUUAGCAAUUGACGUUAGCGACAGAAGAAGCACCGGCUAACUCCGUGCCAGCAGCCGCGGUAAUACGGAGGGUGCGAGCGUUAAUCGGAAUUACUGGGCGUAAAGGGCACGCAGGCGGUUAAUUAAGUUGGAUGUGAAAUCCCCGGGCUUAACCUGGGAAUGGCAUUCAAGACUGGUUAGCUAGAGUCUUGUAGAGGGGGUAGAAUUCCAUGUGUAGCGGUGAAAUGCGUAGAGAUGUGGAGGAAUACCGGUGGCGAAGGCGGCCCCUGGACAAAGACUGACGCUCAUGUGCGAAAGCGUGGGGAGCAAACAGGGAUUAGAUACC